GUUUCCCCAUCAAUAAUGUGAUACCAUCGCUGUGCAUCCACCCCCGCCCCCGGGGCGCCGGGGCCGCCUCUUCCCCGCUCUCUUCGUGGCUUAAGAAAACGAAACCUCCGCUACUGCCCUUCGAGCUCAGGCCAGGGGCCAGCGGGGGCUGGGGCUGGGGAUUGGGGAAGUAGGGGCGCUGGGGCACCCGCAGAGCGCGUGGGGGCGUCCUUCAGUUCGCGGGUGCCCAACCAGCGCCCGCGGAAAGAGAAGGGGGGUCCGGGGGCCCAGGCCAGGCCUCAUUCCAGGCUCCAUCCCAGACCCCGGGGUCAGACUGGGCCAGAAGAAGAUAUUUUGGGGAGUGAAACAACCGAGCCUCCGGAAGGGAAGGCCCUACCCCUUCUCCCCUUUCCAGGAUCGGGGACCAAGCUGAGAGGCUCGGAAACCCCUUUGCUGGGAAUUCAGUUGUGGCCCGCGGCCUUGGGGCACAGCCCUUCGGGCCUUGCCAACUCACCAAGGAUGCUGUAUGUCUUGGGAAACCCGAGGGGACGGACUGGUAGAAAUGAAGGCAUCAGGCCGCCCCCAAAAUCACGCGAAGCCUCACCGGCGUCCUGACUUUGCGGCGCUCGCGUCAGCGAACCAAGAAACUUGGGCCCGAGACAACGGCCCGUAAUUGAUGUAUUGCCAUCAACAAUAAAGCCUAACUCUCCUCUCCCCGCCAUUUCGACCAUUCCCCUCCUCCCAUCCCCCCUCCUCCACCUCCCUUCUCCUCUCCGGGCCACAGAGGGAAAGAAAACAAACAAGAAAUUAGCGGGGGAUGCGGCGCACAGAGCGAGACGCCCGCCUGUACGCCGUCGAGGACGCAAAAGAACGAAAAAAGUUACUAAAGUUUGGAUCCCCCGAAUUAGUUAGUCUCUGCUCGCCCAUUUUUAAUUAAACAUCGCGAAGCUGCCUUUGCGUGUGCAUUC